AAUUAAUUAAUCUAAUUAACGCCUUAACCUGACAGCCCUAAUUUUAUUGAAUGGCAAAAGGCUGUUGACAUUAGGACCAAGAGAGAGGAGCAGAGAGCAGAGAGGCUGUUGACAUCAGGACCAUGAGAUAUACAGUGGGCUAAUAGAGUGGCAAAGUCCCGCCCCAUCCGAUGGACCCCAUGGGACCUCUGGGAUCGUAAAAUAUGCAUGGGAUUGAAUGGACAGAAAGUAAUUAUUUUCUGGUUCCAGUCCUUAUAUGCCUUUGAUUAUACAGAUGUUGUUUGUCAAGAGUUUGACAGUGUAUUGUGCAACUGUUCAUUUAAAGGCUGUAGAGAAAAACAAUGAGAAAGACUACAUGUCGCGCAUGUGACAUCACAUCAUCAACUUUUCCCUCCGCUGUCAAGUGGCUAAGUCAAGGUUCCUGUAUUUCAAGAUGCUGAUGUGUUUUGUACCAGUCCUCAAGCAGGACUGGCUGUUGUUUCUUUCGGAUGCCUUCAGAUGUGAAGUAUCUCUGGCUCAAAUUGAUCAGGAUUCCCCCAACCAGGACUGAUGGACACAUGAAUUUUCAGGUCAAGUGUUUUAUUAAUUCUACUGCCGUGUCAGCAUACACAGCAGUAUCUAUAACUUAGCAGUGACCAAAUUAAACACUUAACAACCACAAACAUGUCCACAAGUCUUGUAGUCACCAAAUUUUGCACAAUGUACCAUCCCAUGUCAAUCAUAUUACACGCAAUAUGAGGGAUUUGGGAUGUUGCCUUGUGCACAUGCUGUGACACCAAAAAUGUAACAGUGUUGUUUUUAAGUGAGUUUAAGUGAGCAUUAAUUCAAUUUUUAUCACAAGUUUAUGUUUUCUAUAUUCUUCUCUCCUCAGCAUCAUCAUAUCCUGUUCCUGUGUGUCCUGCUUGCAAGUCAGCACCUUGGAUUUGGAUACCAUUUCAAAUAAAUUCAGUUGACUUUA